AGUGAACGCUGGCGGUAGGCCUAACACAUGCAAGUCGAACGGCAGCACAGUAAGAGCUUGCUCUUACGGGUGGCGAGUGGCGGACGGGUGAGGAAUACAUCGGAAUCUACUUUUUCGUGGGGGAUAACGUAGGGAAACUUACGCUAAUACCGCAUACGACCUACGGGUGAAAGCAGGGGAUCUUCGGACCUUGCGCGAUUGAAUGAGCCGAUGUCGGAUUAGCUAGUUGGCGGGGUAAAGGCCCACCAAGGCGACGAUCCGUAGCUGGUCUGAGAGGAUGAUCAGCCAAACUGGAACUGAGACACGGUCCAGACUCCUACGGGAGGCAGCAGUGGGGAAUAUUGGACAAUGGGCGCAAGCCUGAUCCAGCCAUACCGCGUGGGUGAAGAAGGCCUUCGGGUUGUAAAGCCCUUUUGUUGGGAAAGAAAAGCAGCAGGUUAAUACCCCGCUGUUCUGACGGUACCCAAAGAAUAAGCACCGGCUAACUUC
rnacentral:rRNA from 1 species